AACGAACGCUGGCGGCAUGCCUAACACAUGCAAGUCGAACGAGACCUUCGGGUCUAGUGGCGCACGGGUGCGUAACGCGUGGGAACCUGCCCUUAGGUUCGGAAUAACUCCCUGAAAGGGGUGCUAAUACCGGAUAAUGUCUUCGGACCAAAGAUUUAUCGCCUUUGGAUGGGCCCGCGUUGGAUUAGCUAGUUGGGAGGGUAAAAGCCUACCAAGGCGACGAUCCAUAGCUGGUCUGGGAGGAUGAUCAGCCACACUUGGACUGAGACACGGCCCAGACUCCUACGCGAGGGAGCAGUGGGGAAUAUUGGACAAUGGGCGAAAGCCUGAUCCAGCAAUGCCGGGUAAGUGAUGAAGGCCUUAGGGUUGUAAAGCUCUUUUACCCGGGAUGAUAAUGACGGUACCGGGAGAAUAAGCUCCGGCUAACUCCGUG
rnacentral:rRNA from 1 species